GGAGACAGCAGGAGGAGCGGGGAUCCACUGCAGCUUUAGAAAUGCCCUCUAAUUUUGUCUCCCGCUCGCUCAGGUAUCCCGGAAGAUGACAGCACAUUGUCCAACUCCGGUCAGAGCCAGUGACCUGAGGACCUGCCUCGGUGACAUUGACUCCGAGUACUCUCACAAUGGCAGGAACCUCUGAGCCAGCCCAGGUGCCCCUCCUUUGCAUCAGAGACGGAUUCGCAUCCCCGGCUCUCAGAAAGAUAAGUGCAGGGCAAAGACCCAGAGAGGAGGGGUUGGGAGUUGGUGCAAUCACCCAAAGGAGACUCAGAUUCCUGGGGUGAAAGAUGGCAUCGGUUUUCCCGGAACUUUGGGCGACCGGGGCGAGAUCGGCUGAAGCAUCAUCGAUGGAAUCUUCUGAAAGCCACAGGGAGUCCCUGCCCAAUGAGUUCUGGACUGCAUGUGUAGAGCACGGUAUAUGUUUAUUUAGU